rnacentral:lncRNA from 1 species
GAAUUAUUUUGAUUUCAGCAAGUCAAAUUUUGUAAAGGCCUGCAAUUUUUUAUGAUUAUAUGAAGUCUGCAAAAGCUUUAAAAAUGCCUCUGCCUUGCCUGCAAUACAUGCAAUGUAUGUUAACUUAGUCUGUUCUCAGAUACUGUUGGUAGUUACUUCUAUGUUUUCCCCUUUUUAAAGAAAUGUAUUUAUAGUGGUAAUCUAAGAGAUGCUAACAGCUCAGUCGGGGUGGCCGUUCCGUGAUCCUGAGUUGACAGCACUGAACACUGCCAUUUGACAGCUAUGUGCCUCUGCCUGUCCAUCACUUCAUCUGUGUUCCAGGAGUCGUCCAGGUCCCCUCCCCAAGUCUGUACAUAACUUGUAUUAUGUGUAAGUUAAACAUUUUUAAACAUUUUAUGUUUACUUGGAAUGUUCCCAGUGAUUACAUUUAACAGGGUGUUUCCUACCUUGUUGGCAAAUGGCAAAAAAUAUCAUGAGAAUUAUUUGCUACCAAGUUGGUGCCCUUAGGGUAAAAUGAGGAAAGUCUCUGCAGUAUGAUUUAUUGUAUUUUUUUCCUUUUUUUUAGCCUAGCCAGAACAUCAUUAUAAUUUUAAACUUAAGACCAUAAGAUGGCUUUUAUUAGAUGAUAACUAAAUAAACUGAACUAAGUAGCCAGAAGACAGUACCUUAGAGACAGAUAGUUGUAAGUUUAUAAAAAUACAAAUGUAACUUAUAUUUCCAUUUUCCUAUUUGCCCCUUUGUUUAUUUUUCCCUAAUAGAAAUAUUCU